UACGUAGGGUGCAAGCGUUGUCCGGAAUUAUUGGGCGUAAAGAGCUCGUAGGCGGUUUGUCGCGUCUGCUGUGAAAACCCGAGGCUCAACCUCGGGCCUGCAGUGGGUACGGGCAGACUAGAGUGCGGUAGGGGAGAUUGGAAUUCCUGGUGUAGCGGUGAAAUGCGCAGAUAUCAGGAGGAACACCGACGGCGAAGGCAGCACUCUGGGCCGGUACUGACGCUGAGGAGCGAAAGCAUGGGGAGCGAACAGG
rnacentral:rRNA from 1 species